AUACCUACCUGUACGAGGUCUAUAGGUGAUCAAUAAGGCUCAUGGCAUAGUUUAACGGAUCACAUUGCACUUUGUGAGCGUGUUGAUCUACCAUCUUUUUUUCGUGGGAGAAUGGAUGUCAUAAUUUAUGAAAGAAGGGGUUACGCGUUUGAGCGGCCCCUAU
rnacentral:snRNA from 2 species